AGAAAUAUACGCCCAUAUUACUAUAUUUUAAUAAAAAUAUUGAAGGAAAUAACAUUAAACUCAUGUAAACGUUUAGUUACAUUGUAAGAUUAUAAAUAAUAUACGUACGCACUUCCGGAUUGCGAUUUUAUUUGAGGGCUGUGGGAGACUAAAAUCGCCAUGUACGUUGAAAAUACACUACCCCCUCUUAUCGAGCUGAGGUCGUGUCACGUGUACUCCAUUAAUUCGAAUGACAUUAUUCCUCUAGUUUAAACAAAAUAAAAAAAA